rnacentral:rRNA from 1 species
UGGGGAAUUUUGGACAAUGGGCGAAAGCCUGAUCCAGCAAUGCCGCGUGUGUGAAGAAGGCCUUCGGGUUGUAAAGCACUUUUGUCCGGAAAGAAAUCCUUGGCUCUAAUACAGUCGGGGGAUGACGGUACCGGAAGAAUAAGCACCGGCUAACUACGUGCCAGCAGCCGCGGUAAUACGUAGGGUGCAAGCGUUAAUCGGAAUUACUGGGCGUAAAGCGUGCGCAGGCGGUUUGCUAAGACCGAUGUGAAAUCCCCGGGCUCAACCUGGGAACUGCAUUGGUGACUGGCAGGCUAGAGUAUGGCAGAGGGGGGUAGAAUUCCACGUGUAGCAGUGAAAUGCGUAGAGAUGUGGAGGAAUACCGAUGGCGAAGGCAGCCCCCUGGGGCCAAAUACUGACGCUCAUGCACGAAAGCGUGGGGAGCAAACAGGAUUAGAUACCCUGGUAGUCCACGCCCUAAACGAUGUCAACUAGUUGUUGGGGAUUCAUUUCCUUAGUAACGUAGCUAACGCGUGAAGUUGACCGCCUGGGGAGUACGGUCGCAAGAUUAAAACUCAAAUGAAUUGACGGGGU